GGGGCAUUAGCUCAGUUGGUAGAGCGCAUCCUUCGCAUGGAUGAGGUCAGCGGUUCGACUCCGCUAUGCUCCA
rnacentral:tRNA from 1 species